CUUGCUUCCACUGAGAAGAUAGUGGCGAACGGGUGAGUAACACGUGGGUAACCUGCCCAUAAGAGGGGGGAGUAACAUCCGGAAACGGGUGGCUAAUACCGCAUAGUUUUCUUGAUCGCAUGAUCGGGAAGGAAAGACGGCCUUUGUGCUGUCGCUUAUGGAUGGACCCGCGGCGUAUUAGUUAGUUGGUGAGGUAACGGCUCACCAAGACGAUGAUACGUAGCCGACCUGAGAGGGUGAUCGGCCACAUUGGGACUGAGACACGGCCCAAACUCCUACGGGAGGCAGCAGUAGGGAAUCUUCCGCAAUGGACGAAAGUCUGACGGAGCAACGCCGCGUGAGUGAAGAAAAGGUUUUCGGAUCGUAAAACUCUGUUGUCAGAGAAGAACAAGUUGGAGAGUAACUGCUCCAGCCUUGACGGUAUCUGACCAGAAAGCCACGGCUAACUACGUGCCAGCCGCUGC
rnacentral:rRNA from 1 species